GGGAGUGCAGCCAACAAAUACAUUCAGGUGUGUUCGACUUAAAACCGAGAUGCGCAGACAGCACGUGGUAUGACAUCAAAGUACCGCGAGAGUUUGGGAAAGCCCCGGAAAAGGUUUGAACUCGCGGUAUUUGAUGUCACGAUCGGUUUGCGUGUAGAUCAGCAUGAAGUCGAACACAUCUGAAAGAUGUGUGGGCUGCCUGCACUCAACGUUGCGAUAAUUCAGUAGAGUCUAACCUCAAUCGGUUUUUGCAGCUUCUGGGUGUCGUGUCGAACGAUCGCAGAACGAUAUUUUGUUCUUUUCCAACUCGAUUUUUAACUCCCUAAACUAGUAGGAUGUUCCAACGGGUGAAGCAACAGUGCUGACGGCAGAGUUUCAGUGUCAAUUUUUCAUGCCAUGAUCACUGGGGCGGAAACCAUGACGUUGCCUUGGACUUCAAACUAAACCAUCUCAUUCUGGCUUUUUUCUAACAUCGAAAUCUCAGAAGGACAGGACUAAGAUGGACGCAGCCUCCACAUGCAACCUUGCAUUUGAGGAACACCCAUAGAACGGUCAACUUACCCCAUACUCUAACCUGAAUGCAGGGAUCAUAAAACUUUAUCUUUUACCUUAAUUGUUAGAUGGGUGUUGAUACCAAACUUUUUUGUCUCGUCUACCCAGGAGAAAGUCAUGGGUUCUGCUGCUGAGGUUGUCAUAAAGCAUGCUUUUUCCAUUUGUUGCAUUGGGCAAUAUUAUCAAGAGAUUCUGAAAGAAAUAAGAUAAUUUUCAAAGCAUUAACAUGAAUAUGAAAGCAUUAAUUCAUUAAUGACCAUCUUUUAUUAUUGUUUAUUUACAGUGUCUUUUAUUCUGCUUACCUGACUCAUGCAGAAUUCUGGCUUGAUGUUUGGUCCACCUGUUAGCUGGCUCUGGUGCUUGGUAGUCUUCUCAAACCUCUGAAUCAAGGCCACCAUGAGAGGCCUUCUGAAGACCAUCAUUACGCUUCAGAUCCAGUUGUCUUUACUAUGAGCUUACCACAAUCCCUGUGCACCAGCUAUGGAAAGUGCAGACCAAACUUCUACCUCCACCUAUGGGACUGAACUGGAGUCUGUGAACUAAUGCUGUUUUCGAGACAACUUGGAUGUUGGAUAUUAUUGACAUCAAACCUGUAAGAAGUCUGGAACAGACUUCAACUUGGGACAGAUCCAUCAACACCGACCUCAACGAGAUGCAUCAUUUGACAUUGCAGACAAGUUGGUGGCUAGCCUUUCACAGCCUUACAUGAACCGCAAACAAACUUUAAACUAUUUUUACAGCACAUAAUAUUUAUGAACAUGAAUGUUAAAUUAUCCAGUAACCGUUUUCUGCCAUAAUUGGCACAAGAGCACAAACAACUUCUGGCGUCUCAUUAUGUGGUAAACACGCAAAUGUGAUAUGUGAUUGACUGGAAUGCAUUGAGGUCGGAGGUAGGAUAUUUAAUUACAUAACAUCAGAAAUCCGAGUUGUUUGUAACACUGCACAAUAUUUCACAUAAUUGUCACCACCUGAUUAUCCUCCCAUGUUUUUAACACAACCAUUGAUUGGUCACACGGAUGAAGGCAGCAAGCAGAGACAUUUGUCCUUUGUAUCUCUCAAAAAAAAAAGAAAUAAAUCUAUAUUUAAUGUUAAAAACACUUACAGUAGACUGUGUUAGAUAACUGUGCUCUUGGAAGUCAGCUUAAGUCAACAAAUGGUAAUGUUUAUGAAAAGUUCAUUUUUGUCACAGUUGCAAACUAACCACCACACAGAAUAUGAAAAAUAGCCAGAACUGUGGUAAUAAGCUAGCCCUAAAAUGUUGUGAGAAUCUUGAUGUAUUGGACACAGGUGUGUAGUAUCUGUUAUAUAUUGACGGUUGACAGGUUUGUUUGCAUGUAAUUGCAUUAUUAUUAAUUUGGGGUUGAUAGUCCAAUGUUGAUUUGAGAGAUUUUUUUUUUUCUUGUUAGAUCCUUUCUCUUUUUAAUGCAGAACUUAAGGAUGAAGCACCCUGAUCUACUAAGAUGCACAGAUUCAACUCUGGCCCAGCAUCAUCCCCACACCUCAUCUGCCAUCAGUUUAAUUUAAUGUCUGUCAAUUGCAAAUGCUAUUUAUUUCAGUUAUAUUACAACUUAAUGUUAACUUUAAUUGAGACUAGUAUUGUGUAAAGCUGGGGUUUCCAAACUUUUAAUUUCAAAACCUAUUAGACAAGUGUAAUCUAUUCUAGACCCACUAAAAUAUUUUUUUUAUGGGGUAAAACACAUUUGUUCUCUUUCAGUGGAGUCAUUUUAUUUUCAUAAUAUUCCAUAAUGUAAAGCAGUGGUUCUUAACGUUAUUCCUCGAGGCCCAUUGCUCUGCACAUUUUGUAUGUCUUUUUUAUCUGACAGACUCGGUUCAGUUCAUUGAGAUCUCUUCUAAUGAGCUGAUGAUUUGAAUCAGGUGUGUUAAAUAAGGGAGACAUACAAAAUGUGCAGGGCUGUGGGCCUCGAGGAAUAAUGUUAAGAACCACUGAUGUAAAGUAAAUAUAAGUUUAUUUGCAAUACCAAAUAUUUUAUGGUAUAUUCUUUCAAAACCAUUGUCAUUGCAAACUGUUGUUGCAUCAUUAAGGUGUGCAACACACCUUAACCUACUGUAUGACCGACAAGUGGGUCCUCCUGACCCACAGUUUAAAAUCCCCUGGUGUACUGAAUGUUGUAUUGUAAUUAAAGUCGCAUCUAUGUCUUG